GCCAUCAUGUAGUCCCACCGGUCCAGGUCGCACACAUUGAAGCCUUGUCCUUCUGAGGUGGAGGAAAUGAUCAGCAAUGGGACAUUUCGGUCUCGAUUCUGCAGGACGCCAACUGUCCAUGCACACAGGAACCAGCUGACAUGCCACCCAGCUAUUAUGAUUUCAACUGCAGUGCAGUAAUCUGAAAAGAAGCUUUGAAUCCCACACUCACUGGAAAGUAAAGCAACAGAGAGCCACACAGGAUCAUCUCCAGCAGCAAAAGCCCCGACGAUCGGAUCCGCUGAGAGACAGAAAGAUGCAUGCUAAUAAGCACAAGGACCAUGAAGAGACCCUGCACAGCCAGGACGCCCGUUCUCAGGAGCCAGUCUUCCUGCACCCAACACGGGCCUCCGUCCUCACACUCAGCACAGCCGGGCCAACAGGGCAG